GCCUUCGUAGCUCAGCGGAAGAGCGCUUCCCUCCGGAGGAAGAAGUCGCUGGUUCGAAUCCAGUCGAGGGCACCA
rnacentral:tRNA from 16 species